AUUUACAGAGAUUCGCUAAAAAUUAGAUUCAAAAAAGAAAAAUUCCUUCUAUUUGAACUAGAGUAUAUGAGCUUCGAGAUUCUGGACAAAAAUAACUUUACGAUAAUACCCAUAACGCUAUUUUAUAGAAAUCCUAGGAAUCAUUUUAGUAGACAGGACUGGAAUAACCUAUUCAGAGACAUAGAUGUGACGGACGAGACAAUUUUAAUAGGAGACCUGAACGCAAAAAACACCCUUUGGAACUGUAAACAAUCUGAUCAAUCGGGCAAAGCCCUAGAAAAAGAACUAGACAAUUGGGAUCUUAUAAUACAUAACACGGACAUGAUAACGAGAGAUGACCCAGGUACGGCAGAACCUAAUAUCGACUUAAUAAUAUCGCGUCCCCAUUUAGCGGAAUACAUCAAAUAUUCCGAAACAAACAUUUGUUUAGGAUCGAACCAUCAGAUACUGAACAUACAGAUUUAUUCAGACAAUGAUUUCGGUUUAGACAUAGCAAACACAAGCUCAAGGAUAAACAACAGACUGUAUAAUUCCAAAAAAGGAUUAGUCUGGAGAGGGUUCAGAGAAAAACUGGAAUCGAACAAAAUAUAACAACAAAGGACAAGGACCAAUUAAGGAAAAAACAUAAAAAUGCCGAAAGACCACAAACAGUAAAAUACCACAGAAUUCAGGAACCAAACCAUAAUAAACACAAAAAGUCCUGGUGGGACGAAGAAUGCAGAGAACAUUGGGAAAACUGGAAGAAAAGUAUGAAGAAAGUAUGUAAGACCGGUAAUACGGAGGACUUCAUAAUAAUGGAACACAACAGGAAAAAAGUGGAACGAAAUGAAACAAAAAAAGAAAGAUUCAGCCUGGUCAUCGCUCACAGAAGAGAUAGCAAAGGAAAGGGACUUAAGUAAGAUAUGGAGAAGAAUUAGAGGAAUCAAAGAAUGUUUCACCAAAGAAAAAUCACCCCUUAAUGAUAGUACGAGAAUAGAAUUGGAGGAAAUAGAAAUUUUCAAGUUGAAAAACAAAAAUCUGGCUAUUUCAGGUAUCGUAACGGACGACUCGACAACGAACAACUGGAGUCAAGACAUUCAAACGAGCAUAUGGGAGAAAGACUUGGAAAAUUAUGAGAUUCUGAUGACAAUAAAUAGCACCAAAGGUAAAACGCCAGCCCCAGGGGACAACAGGAUCGAUUACAAAAUAAUGAAAAAUUCUCUUUGGGCCGAAGAAAACAACAUAAUUAAAGAAACUCAGGCAGGAUUUAGAAAAA